rnacentral:rRNA from 1 species
AUUGAACGCUGGCGGCAGGCCUAACACAUGCAAGUCGGGCGAGCGGCGGACGGGGGAGUAAUGUAUGGGGAUCUGCCUGAUGGAGGGGGAUAACUACUGGACACGGUAGCUAAUACCGCAUACCAUCAGAUGAACCCAUAUGGGAUUCGCUUGUCGUUGGGGUAACGGCUCACCUAGGCGGCGAUCCAUAGCUGGUCUGAGAGGAUUCUCAUGCACAUAGGGACUGAGGCAUGCCAAGACGCCUACGGGAGGCAGCAGUUGGGAAUUUUGCUCAAUGGGCGCAAGUCUGAAGCAGCCCUGCCGCGGGCAGUAAGAAGGCCUUGGGGUUGUAGAGUACGUGCAGAUGUGAGGCGUUACCGACAGAAGAAGCACCGGCUAACUCCAUGCCAGCAGCCGCGGUAAUUC